CCCUACGGGGUGCAGCAGGCUACAAAGGGUCCAUGAGAAACGGGUACGAGGAUGCCCUCUUGAAGCUCGGAUCGUUGAUGAAGGAGUGCAAUGUAAAAAAGCGUUCAGUCAACCUGAUUGGCCUUUGCCCCGAUGAUUUCAAGGUCCAUGCGGAUUUGAAGGAGAUAAAGAGGAUCAUAGAAGCUCUGGGUAUCGGCGUGAACAGCACGAUAUCGAUGUGCAGCCUCGAAGAAUUUUGUGCUGCUCCUGCUGCGGAGCUGAACGUCGUGAUGGGUCAGGGAGCAAAAUUGGCAAAAUAUAUGAAAAACGAAUUCGGCGUACCCUAUAUCGAGGUCGAUUAUCCCUACGGCCUUGAGGGAUCUAUGAAGUUUACGGAGGCGUUAUGCGGGAAUCUGGGCGUGGAAUACGGCGGGAGAGC
rnacentral:rRNA from 1 species